AAGAGGUGGCGGUGGAGGUGGUGGUGGAGGAGGAGGAGGAGGUGGAGGAGUUGCUAUUGCAGCUACCUGUGACAACGAGAUAGCUGGUGACAAAGACUUAGGAGGGUGAGUGUACAAUGAAGAGAUGUGAGACAUAGGCGGAGGAGGUGGAGGAGGUGGAGGCGGAGGUGGAGGGGGCACUACUUGUUGUAGGCCAAUAUGUGCUGUUAUAAUAGAGGAAGACUCUGUCUCUUGAAUUGGUGGUAGUGUUGAUGGCAAGCAGGAUGUGAGUGUCUCCGUAAGUGUCUCCGUAAGUGUCUCUGGUGCAGACUUUGAAG
rnacentral:lncRNA from 1 species